rnacentral:rRNA from 1 species
CCCAUUGAUUGACGGUGCUUGCACCUGAUUGAUUUUGGUCGCCAACGAGUGGCGGACGGGUGAGUAACACGUAGGUAACCUGCCCAGAAGCGGGGGACAACAUUUGGAAACAGAUGCUAAUACCGCAUAACAACGUUGUUCGCAUGAACAACGCUUAAAAGAUGGCUUCUCGCUAUCACUUCUGGAUGGACCUGCGGUGCAUUAGCUUGUUGGUGGGGUAACGGCCUACCAAGGCGAUGAUGCAUAGCCGAGUUGAGAGACUGAUCGGCCACAAUGGGACUGAGACACGGCCCAUACUCCUACGGGAGGCAGCAGUAGGGAAUCUUCCACAAUGGGCGCAAGCCUGAUGGAGCAACACCGCGUGAGUGAAGAAGGGUUUCGGCUCGUAAAGCUCUGUUGUUAAAGAAGAACACGUAUGAGAGUAACUGUUCAUACGUUGACGGUAUUUAACCAGAAAGUCACGGCUAACUACGUGCCAGCAGCCGCGGUAAUACGUAGGUGGCAAGCGUUAUCCGGAUUUAUUGGGCGUAAAGAGAGUGCAGGCGGUUUUCUAAGUCUGAUGUGAAAGCCUUCGGCUUAACCGGAGAAGUGCAUCGGAAACUGGAUAACUUGAGUGCAGAAGAGGGUAGUGGAACUCCAUGUGUAGCGGUGGAAUGCGUAGAUAUAUGGAAGAACACCAGUGGCGAAGGCGGCUACCUGGUCUGCAACUGACGCUGAGACUCGAAAGCAUGGGUAGCGAACAGGAUUAGAUACCCUGGUAGUCCAUUGCCGUAAACGAUGAGUGCUAGGUG